rnacentral:rRNA from 1 species
UACGUAGGUGGCAAGCGUUGUUCGGAAUUAUUGGGCGUAAAGGGCGCGUAGGCGGUUUGUUAAGUCAGCUGUGAAAGCCCGGGGCUCAACCCCGGAGGGUCAGCUGAUACUGGCAGACUAGAGUACAGAAGAGGUAACUGGAAUUCCCGGUGUAGCGGUGAAAUGCGUAGAUAUCUGGAGGAACACCGGUGGCGAAGGCGGCAUCCUGGACCAACACUGACACUGAGGAGCGAAAGCCAGGGGAGCAAACGGG